rnacentral:rRNA from 1 species
AAGAUGUGAAUUCCCCGGGUUCAAUCUGGGAACUGCAUUUGAAUUCGCCAAGCUGAGUUUCGUAGAGGGGGGUAGAAAUCCAGGGUAGCGGUGAAAUGCGUAGAGAUUGGAGGAAUACCGGUGGCGAAGGCGGCCCCCUGGACGAAGACUGACGCUCAGGUGCGAAAGCGUGGGGAGCAAACAGGAUUAGAUACCUGGUAGUCCACGCCGUAAACGAUGUCUAUUUGGAGGUUGUCCCUUGAGGAGUGGCUUCCGGAGCAACGCGUUAAAUAGACCCCCUGGGGAGUACGGCCGCAAGGUUAAAACUCAAAUGAAUUGACGGGGGCCCGCACAAUCGGUGGAGCAUGUGGUUUAAUUCGAUGCAACGCGAAGAACCUUACCUACUCUUGACAUCCAGAGAACUUAGCAGAGAUGCUUUGGUGCCUUCGGGAACUCUGAGACAGGUGCUGCAUGGCUGUCGUCAGCUCGUGUUGUGAAAUAUUGGGUUAAGUCCCGCAACGAGCGCAACCCUUAUCCUUUGUUGCCAGCGGUUCGGCCGGGAACUCAAAGGAGACUGCCAGUGAUAAACUGGAGGAAGGUGGGGUCUCCGCCAAGUCUUCAUGGCCCUUACGGGUAGUGCUCCACCCGUGCUACAAUGCCAUAUCAAAGAGAAGCCCCAGAAACAGAGCAAGCGUACCUCAUCAAGUAUGUCGUAUUCCGGAAAAGAGUGUGCCGUCGGGUUCCGCCCCUAGGAAAGGCUAGUAAACGUGGGUUUUAACCC